rnacentral:rRNA from 1 species
UACGUAGGGUGCGAGCGUUGUCCGGAAUUAUUGGGCGUAAAGGGCUCGUAGGCGGUUUGUCGCGUCGGGAGUGAAAACCAGGUGCUUAACACCUGGCUUGCUUUCGAUACGGGCAGACUAGAGGUAUGCAGGGGAGAACGGAAUUCCUGGUGUAGCGGUGAAAUGCGCAGAUAUCAGGAGGAACACCGGUGGCGAAGGCGGUUCUCUGGGCAUGACCUGACGCUGAUACGCGAAAGCGUGGGGAGCAAACAGG